UACGAAGGGGGCUAGCGUUGCUCGGAAUCACUGGGCGUAAAGCGCACGUAGGCGGAUCUUUAAGUCAGGGGUGAAAUCCCAAGGCUCAACCUUGGAGCUGCCUUUGAUACUGGGGAUCUCGAGUCCGGAAGAGGUGAGUGGAACUGCGAGUGUAGAGGUGAAAUUCGUAGAUAUUCGCAAGAACACCAGUGGCGAAGGCGGCUCACUGGUCCGGUACUGACGCUGAGGUGCGAAAGCGUGGGGAGCAAACAGG
rnacentral:rRNA from 1 species